AAGGAUAAAGCAUUUCUUAGCUUGAUGUGCUUGUGUUUGGCGACUUUUGUUGUUAUGAAGAUAGUGAUUCUGUUGUGAGUGUGUAUUUGGGGAUGUUCUUGUUAUGUUCAUUGUACCUGCAUCCAAAGAAAAAUGAUGAGUUUUGCAGGGGAAAGGUUGGUUCGUGCUCUUGUCUUCAAGCCCUACUUGAGUCACCCUUGGUAUCAUCUGGCUGCCAUAGAAACAAAAUUUUCGAAAAACAUGCAGGCAUUUGACAAAUUAUUUGUACAAAUAUAGUUGUUCGAAAUAUGUGAUAAUGCACGAGAUCAAAUAUUUUGAUGAACUGCUGACUGUGAUGAAUUUUGAGAUGUUGUAACCUCCUUGCUUCAGAAUUUUGGGGAUCCUCCUCAAAAUUCUGCCCUAGUUUAAAUGCAUACUUCUGGCAACACAUUCCUUGGUGGUUCCAAACAAGAUGAGAUUGGGCAAACUCGAGACCUUGCCCCAAUUUCUGACCAUAGGGAAAAUGAAGCGUUUAUCAUGAUGUGACCGAACCCACAGAGCUGCCUACGUAUCCCAUCUUAAAUGGGAAUCAGGCCAAGCAUAGUCCAGCUACAUCAAAUAGAAAGUGCAAACAUAAUCUUAAGCAUAGUAUCUACUGACUGCGUCCAAAUUGAUAGGUUUUGGAUAAAUCUCUCCAUCCAUUUCUACAAGUAUAUGUGUUCCUCCUGUUAACACCCGGUGAACCAUGUAAGGGCCUUGCUGGUUUGGUGAGAAUUUCCCCUUUGCUUCAUCCUGAUGUGGGAAGAUUCACUUUAGUACCAACUCCUCCGGCGUGAAUUGCCUCGACCUGACUUUUUUUUUGAAAGCUCUUGCCAUUCUGUUCUGGUAGAGUUGACCGUGACAUACUGCGUUCAUUCUUUUUCCAUCAAUGAGAGCUAGUUGUUCAUACCGGCUUUGUACCCAUUCCAUAUUACUGAGCUCGGCUUUUUGUAUGAUUCUUAAGGAAGGAAUUUCCACUUCGGCGAGAAUAACGGCUUCAGUACCAUAAACCAAUACAUAGGGAAUUGCCCCAAUUGAUGAACGAACUAUGGUACGAUACCCAAGUAAAGAAAAUGGUAGCUUCUCGUGCCAUUUUUCUUGUAAUUGUCUACUAUUUUCCUCAGUAUCGUCUUGAUGUUCUUGUUGGCGGCUUCUACGACUCUGUUCAUUUGUGGCAUGUAAGUUGUAGAGUUUUGAUGCUUGAUCUUGAAUGUUUUACACAUGGCUUUCAUUAAAUCGCUAUUGAGAUUGGCAGUAUUGUCAGUAAUGAUUGACUCUAGUACUCCAAAUCGACAAACAAUGUGGUCUCGAACAAAAUCUGCUACAACCUUCUUAAUUACAGCUUUUUAAGAUACGGCUUCAACCCAUUUUGUGAAGUAGUCUAUGGCCACCAAAAUUAACCUAUAUCUGUUUGAAGCAGCAGGUUCGAUCAGUCCGAUGACAACCAUACCCAAGCGGAUAAGGGCCAGGGUGAACUUGUUGCAUUAAGUUCGUUGGGUGGUACCCGUAUCAUGUCAGCAUGUAUCUGGCAUUGGUGACACUUUUGAACAUACUUGAUGCAGUCCGUUUCCAUAGUCAUCUAGAAAUACCUUGCUCUUAAUCUCUUCUUGGCCAAAAUAAAACCAUUCAUGUGGGGUCCGUUGGUUCCGGCAUAUAAUUCCUCGAGAAAUCUGGAUGCCUCCUUAGCAUCGACACAUCAUAGUAAUCCCAGGUCAGGAGUCCUUCUAUACAGAUUUCCUCCACUUUGAAAGAAAUGAUUGGCUAAUCUGUGAAGCGUGCGCUUUUGAGUAUGGGUAGCACUCUGUAGGUAUUCUCCCUUUUCCAAAUACUCCUUGAUGCCGUGGAACCACAGAUUUCCGUCAAUUUCUUCUUCAACAUGAGCACAAUAAGUUGUUGCUUAUGAAUUCCUAUUAGGAUAGGAUCAAUGAAAUUCUUGUCUGGGUGUUGUAUCAUGCAAGACAAAGUGUCUAAUGCAUCUACGAACUCAUUUUGAAUCCUUGGAACAUGUUUGAAUUCUAUCUUUGUGAACCUCUUGAUGAACUCUUGUACACGGUUCAAAUUUAGAAAUAUUUUGGUGUUCUUUGUAGCCCAUUCCCCUAGAACCUGGUGCACUAAAAAAUCUAAAUCCCCGAUUACCAGCAUCUCCUGAAUGUUUAUAUCAAUGGCCAAUCUGAGUCCCAAGAUGCAUGCCUUAUAUUAUGCCAUAUUUUUUGUGCAUGGCAACCUGAGUUUUGCGGAUACUGGAUAGUGUUGAUAGUUUCUGAUACUAAGGUAGCUCUGAUACCUACUCCUUUGAAGUUUGAUGCUCCGUCGAAGAACAUCCUCCAACUAUUUUAUGCCUCGGUAGUAUCUUCCCCUACAAAUUAUACCUCCUCGUUGGGAAAUACAUUUUCAAUGGUUCGUAUUCACCGUAUAUAGGAUUUUCUUCCAAGUGAUCUGCUAAUGCAUGCCCUUUGACUGCCUUCUAAGUUACAUAAACGAUUUCGAACUCACUCAGCAAUAUUUUCCACUUCGCUAACUUACCUGUAGGCAUGGGUUUCUGAAAGAUGUAUUUUAGUGAUACAUCCUUUAUAUGAGAUAUGUAGUGCAUGCACAGAAAUAUUAUCUAAAAUUCUCAGCUAUCCAUGUCAAAGCAUAGUAGGUGCGUUCCAAGAAAGAGUACACGGCUUCAUAAGGUGAGAACUUCUUGCUCAGAUAAUAUAUCGCCUGCUCCUUUCUUCCAGUUACAUCAUGUUGUCCUAGCACACAACCAAAAGCCCCAUCUAACAUGAACAAACAAAAAAGCAAAGGUCUUCUUGGUUAUGGUGGGACCAACAGGGGCGAUUUUAAUAAAUACUCCUUGAUUUUGUCGAAGGCCCUCUGGCAUUCUUCAUUCCAGCUUGUUCCAGCAUCUUUCCUCAGUGUUCUGAUGAUUGGCUCACAUAUUACGGUUGAUUGUGCUAUGAAGCGGCUGAUGUAAUUAAGGCGUCCUAAAAAACUCAUCACAUCUUUCUUAUUCUUUGGAGGUGACAAGUCCUUGAUUGCUUUGACUUUUACGGGUCUAACUCAAUCCCUCGGCGACUGAUGAUGAAUCCUAACAAAUUUCCUGCAGGGACUCCGAAGGCACAUUUUGUAGGAUUCAACUUCAAAUUGUAUUUUCAAAGCCGGUCGAAAAAUUUCUUCAAGUCUGCUAUGUGAUUCGAACUCCUUUUAGAUUUGAUGAUAACAACAUCCAUGUACACCUCUAUUUUCUUGUGUAUCAUGUCGAGCAAGAUCGUCAUCAUGGACCUCAUGAAGGUAUCCCUAGCAUUAUUCAAACUAAAUGACAUCAUUUUGUAGCAGUAUAUUCCCCAUGGUAUGAUAAAGGUUAUCUUUUCGCCAUCCUCUUCAUCCAUACAGAUUUGAUGGUAUCCUACAAAGAAAUAAAAAAAGGAUUGGAGCUCAUUCUUGGAACAAUUGUCAAUGAGUAUGUAUAUGUUGGGCAGAAGGAAAUCAUCCUUGGGACUCGCCCUGUUUAGGUCUCGGUAAUCAACAUAUAUUCUAUAUUUCCCAUAUUUCUUCAGAACUGGCACAAUGUUGGCCAACCAAGUCGGGUAUUCAACCACUCAAAGAACCUUGGAUUUGAUUUGUUUGGUAACCUCCUCUUUUAUCUUCAAACUCAUAUUCGGUUUGAACUUUCUAAGCUUCUACUUUGCUGGUGGACACAAACGAUUGGUGUGUAGUUUGUAAGCUACUAUUACUUUAGAUGAGCUUAAACUAGUCAUAUCGCCGUAGGACCAUGCAAAGAUGUCUUCAUAUUCCUUCAGGAAUAUUAUAUACUCCUUCUCCGAUGGUGAUAGAUGAAUGCUUAUAUGCAUUUCCUUGACCGUUUCGGAAUCCCCUAAGUUAACGGCCUCAGUUUCCUCCAAAUUAGACUUUGGUUUGUUUUUAAAGUUCUCUACUUCUCUGAUGACUCAGGUAUUAUAUCAUCCUCUAGAUCCUCCUAAUCACUGUCCUUAUAUUGUGUUGUCUCAUCACAAGUGACGGUCGUAAGUUCAACAGGAUAUGUAAUAAUUAUGCUAAAAAUAAAUGUAGAAAGAUAAUGCAAAUAUAAAAAGCAGUAAUGCCGUAAUAAAACUUUUUAAUAAGUAUAAAGUAUGACUCGAUGGUUCAAGUAAUUAUUUCAAAACUAAAUACUGAAAAUGUCUCAAAUGCUUAAAACUAUUUAAAAAUAAUUCAUGCUAAUUUCCCGGGCUACCCAGGAACUCGACGGGCCUGAGAUGGUGUAGUUGUCCAUUUCUUAAGAACAACUCCUUCCAUGGUUUGAAUGGUAAGUCUUCCUCCUCCUUCUCCUCAAUAAUUGCACUGCAGUCCAUGUCUUCUUCAUCUAGGAGCUUUCUCAUGCUAGCCUAAACCUCAUCUUCCUCAGAUCCCCACAUCAUGUUAGCUUGAUGGAAUGUCUGAUGCAGAGGUGGUACGGGUUGUUCCAGUGGAUAAUAAGGAGCACGCCAUGGUGGUGUCCAAUCCUAUUAUUCUUGCCAUGUGUAUUCAUAUCCGAGUCUAAAAGUCAUACCAUGAUACUGUGGUUGCACGGGUUUGGUGAUCCCCUGAAGCUUUUUAUCGAGAGCCUAGCCUGUUUCAUACCCCGUCCACAACAAUAUGCUUUCUAUCUUGUUGCUCCACCAUCAGUCCUUUUCAAUUGUGUAAACCCGUUUAAUGCAGUGGUAUGUUUCUCUGCCCAGCUUCCUUCUAUUUUCGAUGACCGCAAUGGUCUGGUUGGUAUAGAUGGGGUUACUUCCAUCUCCAUGGAUGAUCACCUCCUGAGGAUUCCAUUCAAACUUCACAUCCUAGUGCAGAGUUGAAGCCAAUGCACCAGCGGCAUGUAUCCAUGGUCAUCCCAACAAUAGAUUAUUAGUAGCAGAUAUAUCUAGCACUUGGAACUCGACAUCAAACCAAGUCGGACCCAUCCGUAGACUGAGGUUGAUUUCUCCAAUGGUGGCUCUUUAAGAUCCAUUGAACGCCUUUACAUUCAUGCUUCCCAUUCAUAUCUCGUACAGGCCUUUACCUUGUAUCUUUAGAGUGGCCAAUGGACAUAUGUUGAGACUUGAACCUCCAUAUAUCAAGAGCCUAGCGAUGAACUUAUCUUCAAAUUGCACCAGGAUGUGCAACGCCCUACUGUGAAUCAGUCCUUCUGGUGGUAAUUCAUCUUUGUGGAUAGUGUUUUUGUGGCUCUCCAAUACAUGUCCGACCAUGUUAGCCAUUUCUCCACUAGUGAUGUCGGUGGGUACAUAAGAUUCACUUAACACCUUCAUCAAAGCAUUCGUGUGCGCGUCUAAGUUUUGCAGCAGUCAUAAGAUGGAUAUCUGAGCAGGAGUUUUCUUCAAGUGGUCAACAACAAAGUAUUCCCUUACUUGUAUCUUCCUCCAAAGUUCGUCAGUGCUAGUCUCGACAACAGGCGGCUUAGGUGAAACUUCUUUACUUGUCCCUCCUAGAUUCUCAGGUGUGUAAACUCUGCCAGUUCUAGUCGUACCUUGCGCGACACCUGUUUCCUCCAUUUUUGUUUUUCCCUUCCUUCUUUCUUCCGCAACAUAAUCCUAUAGAACGGUAUCAAACUUGUAAGAUGGUGUGGGAGCUACCAUCACGGUCAAGGGUGUAGUUACCUCAACUUCAAAUGGCACAUGGGUUUAUACUACAACUGACGUGAGGGUGACUAGCGAUGUUUAAGAGCAUCUCCCUCUUGAAUUAGUCCAAUGGACCAUUCUUGAUCCCAUUCUUCAUCAGUUUCUUUCACAUCACUCCCUCACCUCUAUGAUCCGAGAUAUGGUUGUUGCAAACAUUUGGUGCAACUUCCUUUGCCUGUGUGACCUUAGUGUCGAUCAUCGUCUGAAUCGUGUCUUUCAACGUGUGACACUUCUCAAUGGUAUGACCCUUCAUGUCGGAAUGAUAAGCAUAUAUUUUGUUGGGGUUGAUCCAUUAGGAGGGAUUUUCCACAACAACAGCAGGAAUAGGAGUAACGUAACUAGCGGCCUUCAAUCUCUCAUACAGUUGGUUUAUAGGUUCAGUAAUUGGGGUGUAUUGUCUAAAAGGUCUACGGUCAAAAUUUGGACGUGGAUUUAGGUAGUUUUGGCGGGCGGGUGGAGGUGAAUGGUAAUGUGCAAGUAUAGUAUUAUAGGUGUUAUAGGUGGUGGCAGGGUGUUGGUAUCUUGGUGAUAAGGGUUGAUAUGUGGGUGGAGGUGCUUGGUUUGUGAGGGGAGACUUAGGGACCUGGGCUACCAUCACGGCACUCACUUCUUUCUACUUCGAAAUGCCUCCUGAUUGCAAAGAUUUAUUCGUGACCUGUAGUGCCUUGAAAUUGGUCAUCAUCCCAUUCUUAAUUCAUUCUUCUAAUCUUUCUCCUAGCUUGAUGAUGUCGAAGAACUUGUGAUUUUCAAUGAUCAUCAACCUUUCGUAAUACUAUAGAUCUUGAGCUCUAACAAAGGACUUGUUCAUUUGUUCCUCUUCAAGUGUUGGCCUUACCUUUGCGGCCUCUGAUCUCUAACGAGUAGCAUACUCGCGGAAGGUUUCUGUCAGCUUCUUCUUGAUGUUUUGAAUGUAGAAAACAUAUGGUGCGUUUUCUAUGUUGAACAUGUAUCUAUACAUGAAAUCUGAUGCCAUGCUCACCCAACAAACCCACUUCUUUGGGUUUUGACUAAUAUACCAAGACAAGGCCUCUCCUGUGACGGUUUCAUGCGGAUUUUUUCAUUAUUGCCCACUCCUACAAGCUUGUUGCAAUAUAUUCUCAGGUGUACCUUCGUAUCACCAGUACCAUCGAACAUUUUGAACUUGUGAGGUUUGUAACCCUCUCAUAGUUCCACAUCCGGCCGAAUGCAUAGGUCCUCAUAGUUUAGACCUUCAAUGCCUUUACCACCUUCAAUACUCUAGACUCUACCAGUGUGCUUCUUGAGUUCCUUCACCAUGUUUUUAAUGUGCAGGUCCUUUUCAAUCAAUUUGGGUAUGUAUAGGGUUUACUGUAGGGUACGGGGUAAGGUUUUACAUAUAUCGAAUUUCUUUGAUGGGUUCCGGGAACUUGGGGUAUACGGGUGGUCAUUGGUCGUGUUUUGGGAUUGGGAGAAGGUUGUGGUGCAUUUUGGGGAGUGAGAUAAGUAGUGGUUUAUGGUUAUUGAGUUGGAUGGUGGUGGUGUUAUUAAGGGGUCGACACCGGGGGAGGUCAGGAUAUUGGUGUGGUGCAACGGGAUUUGAUGGUGGAUUCUGGCUUUGUGUGUUUUGUGAUGGUGUUUGGUUCUGGGUGGUCGGGUUUUGCUGGUUGAGGUCGGGAACAUUGAGAGUAAGGGAGAGGUUUGCCAAAUUCAGGCCCUGCACAAGCUCGCCCGGUAGUUCCAUUAUUUUCUGCUCUAAAUGUAAGACCAACUCAUUUUGUCCCGGAGUACUUUGGCCAUCUGAAGUUUCAACGGCUUCCGCCAUAGUAACAUUGUCUUUCCUGAUACCAUUUAAAUCAUUCAUAUUUCCCUUUCCUUUGCCUUUUCCUUUGGGGUCACUCGGUGGAAGAGGAGUUGGAGGGCCUCUGGAUCUGGUGUGGUAUGUGUCACACCUCCUUUUUAGGGAGUUUUUCCAAUUGAAGUGACAAUAAUCAAAACGAGAUUAUUUAUUCAGAUUCAGAGUCUCCACUUGGGUUAAUUUAUGGUGUCCAAAGUCACCGGUUUAAGAUCCCGAGUCGAGAAAGUUUGACUCUGUUUUACAGUCCGUGAAACUCAUAAAUACGGGUAAGGAAUUUUGUUAACUCGGGAGAAGGUGUUAGGCAUUCCCAAGUUUCGUGGUUUUAGCACGGUCGCUUUAAUCAUACUUGGCAUAAUUUAAUUGUCUAAUUACUUAUUUUAGAACCUAUGUACAUUUUCCCUUUUAAUUAAGAAAUUAACCUGAAAUGAGUCACGCGUACGUGUACUCAUUUCGUUUGGCACGUGAAGAAUCAUUUCACGCUUAUGUGUCCACAAUUAAUCACGCUUUAUUAAUAUUAAGAAUGUUUGGCCGAAGUUGCGCUAACGCAUACCUCGAUUUAUUUUGAAAGUCGUAAAUAUGUCACCUGAACGUGUACCCAAUCAUGAUGAUAGAUUAAGCCGCGCCUAAAGCAUUUUCUACAAAUAUUCAUUUUUAAAUCGUACUCGUGUCACAUGGACGUGUACACAAAAAGCUUUUAACCCAAAUUGUAUGUGCAGUUGGCUAACACCGGUCCACCAACGUUCUUGAAGUUCCAUUUUUGCUUCGAUGUUCACAAAUCCAAGCCAAUCAAUAGCUGAAUCCAUAAAUCUGAGCUAUACAUAUAAUAUUGCUACCUCUUGCACUCUUAAACAUCAUGAAAGAUAUCUAUAACCCAACAUGCUAUUGCGCAUUGAAUCGUUGUAAUCAAUAAAUCCUGGAAGAUUACCUAACCCACUCCUAAUCACUUGAUUUCGUGGAACAACAUAGGUUUGCAAAAUUAGAAUCAAACACAAAUAUUUCAUAACACCCUAAGAUAUUACUGAUUCACAAAACACAGCAGGCAUAAGCAAUUAGACCUAAGUAACGAGGAAAGAUAAAGCGAAGACUAUAUCCUAACUCUCAACACCAUGUAUUUCACUCAAAUCACCAUUCAAGUGUUCAUGAACAGAUUCAACAAACUUCCAAUAUAUACUAGUUCAACUAACGAAGCACAUUUAACAAAAUACUACAAAGAUCAAGUAAAGCAAGAUUUGAAAUAUAACUAGAAUGAAAAUUACUUAAAUUAAAAGAUCGGUUAAGAAUGAACCUUACAAUAGAAGAAUCAAAUUUCCUUGAAAGCUUUAAAAUGUACAUGGACUUCCAAAUAGAAACAAAACAGAGCAGCAAAAUAAACUCGAAUCAAACAGGGACCUCGACCUGAAAUCAGCGGCAAACCAUAAAUCACGCAAGUGACAACCUCGAACACAGAGCUUCACAGGAUUAAUGGAAGAUUUUGGUGUUGUUUCCUCGGAAAAAAUGGCAGCGGUUUUGGCUACUAUUUUCACAUUUGUGGAGCUGGUUUUACAGCUUUCAUGGUAUAUUUUAGAGGGCUAAUGGUGCUGCAUUUAUUACUGUGUUGGGGCUGGUUUGGAGAUGCAUUUUCACUAUGUUUUAAUGGAGUUUGAACAGUAAUUUUGUGGCUGUUUAACAUUGCAAGGAAGCUAGUUUUUAGGCUGUUUCAUUGCAGUUUUGGGCUGCUCUUUGGAGCUAUUUUGCUGGUCUCCAUAGGGGUAUUGGCGGCUGACUUAGGUUAAGGGGUUAGGGUUCUAGGAGAAGAAGAAGCUCUUGGUUGAAGAAGAAGAUGAGGGGACUACUGGUGAUGGCAUGAGGGUGGCUGAUGGUGUUUUGGAGAAGAGGGGAGUGGCAUUGGAUUAGGGUUCUAAGGUUGGGAUGUGAAGAAGAAGAAGAGUGGUGUUAUUUUGGGGUUCCUGAUGAUAAAAACGGCUGGGGGGUCUCUAGGGUUAGGGAUC
rnacentral:lncRNA from 1 species